AGCCUCCCAUUCCCCUUUGUUGUCGGAGCACAUUUUGCUCCGGUGUCAGCCUGUGUCAACCCCAACCUCUCCCUCCGCGCUGCUGGCGUGGCUCCAGCCUCCCAAACGCCGGCUUGGCUCCCUCCUGACACCUCCAUGGGAUCCGUCACAACACCUCGCCGCAUAACGAGCAGGCGUUUCCUCCCCAUCAGCACACGGAAAGGUAAUUAAAGCUGGGUAGGUACUGCUGGUGUUGUGGUUGUCGCUCUCCGAGGCUCAACAGCACCAACGCGACUUCUGCUCAAUUAAGCCCGGGGAUAAAAAUAAAAUAAGAGAGGGUCCUCGGCAGCCCUUUAUGUCUGCAUGUUACAGCCAGAGCCUGGGGUUUACGCACACACAGCCCCUGGAAGGGCUUCCAGUAAAGAUGUCUCCAGCUGGAAUGCCCAUUGUAUCCACGUGCACAUCCACACCUGGCUGCGUGCAUGUGGCCAUGCACACACCUCUGCGUGUAAAUCCCAAAUCUGUGCCCCUUCCUGCUCAUGCUAAGGGUGCCUUCCUCCCCGUUACAACAGCAUUUGCACAUUUAUGGGAGGAAUAAAGAAAGAAAAAAAAAAAAGGAUGCAUGAGCCAUGCGGAGGAGCCUUCCCUCUGCCAGCCAGAGAAAGAAGAACUAAAAGGAUUAUAAAAGUUCAGAUUAAAAUGAUAUAAAAUCUAGCAUUUGGCUCCAACACUAGUGCCUUGGUCCUCUGUAGCUAAUCUGUAUGCACUCUGUGACCUCCUCGCAGCGAACCCUGCUAAAUAUAUUAUUCCCACGGGGGCUUUCACUGCUGCUUGGUGUCAGAAAUCAAUAUGUAUGAGGCGCGUGGAUGGGAAUUUCUAAUAGAUCUGCCUGGCCCUGUGCUGCUUUUCAAUAUCUGCCUUGGACUAUUAGUGCCGGCUCGGUGCCUGUGAAAUAACCGAGAUAAUCUUUUAAGGUGCGCUGUUAAGGUGGAACCCAAACGUUGCCGUUUCAAUUAAAACAGAGAAAUAUUACAUAUAUUCAUAAAUCAGCCGGCGCCGCGCGCAACCUCGCUUAUAAACAAUGAUGGGGAUUAAAGUAUUAGGGCGAGCAUGCUAAUGGCCGGGUUGCUGGGGGAGCGCUGAGCUCCUUCCUGAUUUUUUUUUAUGAUGAUCAUGUUUUUUUUAUCAACAGCAAAUUGGGGGGAUUCGGGGUGGGGGGCAGGUUCCCGGCCACCAGGCUCUGUCCCCGCAGCAGCCCAGCACCCUGCACCGCUCUCCAUUUUGGAGAGCAGCUCAACCUCAGCACCCGAGCCUCUGCCCUGCUGUGAAUGAGGGCAGGGGCCCGAUCUGUGGGUUCCUGCAGGGCUGCCCCUUGCCCUGUGCUGCCCUCCGGGGUGGUGCUUUGGGGAGCUGGGUGGUGGGGGUGGCUGUGGCCCCCCCACGCCGCUGGCUCCUGCGCCCUCUUUGUCUCCAGCUCAGCGCGCAGGGGAAGCCGUCUCAGCUCCACGCACAGACGUGUGGCUGCAGGAAGGCAGUGACUUGCUAAAGGGCCUCUCGCUUUUUUUUAUAUUAUUAUUAUUAUUUUUAACAGGGAGAGGUCUCCGGCUCUGCUCAGAGCUGGAGAUGGCAAGGGAGAGCCUUCAGCCUCCAGCCCCACCGAUGCUCUCCCCCUGCCGCACAACCCAGCGUUUUCUUUCCUCCCCAUCCCCUGCCCCGGCCUGCAGCAGCCCUGUUGGGAAGGGGAAGCAGGGCUGCCCCCAGCCCGAGCCCCCUCUGAGGUGCCCGGCUUGCCCCGAGCCUCCCCUGCACCUGGAGCACUGCAAAUGUUUAUAAAGGGCUCCGGCACCGCGGGCGGCUUUACCCCGGCUGCCGAGAGCUGGCUCGGAGCUGCCGGGGCUCCUGGCGGUAUUUGUAAUACAAACACUUCUAAUCUAACGCACGCAAUUCCCCGCCGCUUAAUAGGGCUGAAGUUCCCCUCCCGCCUCCCCUUUCUCAACCCAUCAAUUAGGUGGGUAGAUGUGAAAACAAACAGCCUCUGUGUUUUCUGCCUCUCUGAGGAGGUGUAAUGGUGCGAAGUGCUGGUGGCGGGCGUUUGCUGAUGGGAAAAGAGGAGCCGAGUGGGUCUGGGCACGCAGCCGGCUCCGUGCGGUGGCCGUGGUGGUGGCCCUGGCACAGGAGGACUGCGAAGGAGACUCCUGGGGUGUAAAACCUCACCGGGGUGUAAGGGCAGAGUAGCACCACUGGAGUAAAGGGGAGCAGCCUAGGGCUGGUGCAGCAUCUGGCCGGCUUCGACGCGCUCCUGGAGGAAGGAGCGAGCACAGACCGUGCGUCCGCCCUGCAAUACUCACCUGCAACGUAGAUAACAUCAGCGCCGAAUAGAAAACCUCCCUUCCAGUAAUUGUGACCUUUCCUAAGGCAGGCACUCUACUGUAAAGGUGGGCUCUCUGCGGCGGUGCUGUUAAGGGAAACACGGUCAAAAUAACCUGUUAGAGGUUUGCUUGGGGCUGCGACGGAGGAAACACUGGGGUGGGUCCCGUGAAUCGGGCAGGAAGAAUCACACAGCAGCAGCGAUGCUCAUCUGGGUCAGUGCAGUCAUGGGCACCACGGUGGAAACUGAUGGGCUGCGGCUCGGCCCCCCCCCUCCGCUGCUCCCUGGGGCUCUGGCGAGGAGCAGCAAUUCAUCCCGGCCCUUCCCAGCACGUCGCUCCUGCUGCGCCCCAGGAUGCGGUGCUGCAGGGCCAGAGUGCAGCACAAAGCAGGGAAUCCAGCACAGGCCACGCGUAUCAGCAGGUAUCUGAGGGGGCAAAGACAGCUGUGACUGACUCGGGCACGAGCCAGGUGACGGGGGACCCACCAGCAGGGUCAUGCCCUGGGAAGCUAAAAUAAGGGCAAAAAUUAAAAAUAAAUAAAUAAAAUUAAACAUUAAAAUUGAAAAGAAAAAAAAAAAAAAGAGUGGGCAAGUGAACUUUUUUUCCUUUCCCUGGCUUCUCUUUUUUUUUCUCAACUGUUGCAACUCUCGCUUAUGUUAUUGGAGUCAGAUGUGCUGGGUUGCAACAGGAAAAAAAAAAAACAAUUAGGUAAUAAUCCUGCUCGUGCUUCGCCUUUGUGGUGAGGCUGCCUUGGCAUCGUCCCCAUCCCACAAAGCGAGCCCAGGUCGCCCUUUCCAGCAGCAGCAGGAAAUGAACGCCAGGGCCCGGCGGCGCCUCCAAAUGGUGCCUGGCCAGGGUGGCUGUGCCAGCUCUGCACGGAUGGGGACGGGUCCCGGCUGAUUUGGCUGCUCAGCUCAGCUGCCUUUGCUGUCCCUGCUCACACCCAGGUUAAGCACUCGUCCUCCUUCCGCCAUCCAAUCCUUUCGGCAAGAUCGAGAUCACGGCCACACCCCGGGCCUGUGGCGAGCAGUCGCAAUGAUGCCAUUUUUGUGCAUAAUGCUUGUAACACCAUCAGGCGGGCGUGCAACGAGGACGCCGGCUCCUUUAUACGGGAGGAUGGUCUGCAGUUGUGUGCAGGCAGCUGGCCAGCCCGGCUGCCUCUCCCUCUAGAAACCCCAUCCCCGUGCAGGUUGCUGGCAGCUCACACGCCUCUUGAGGGACGCCACAAAGAGCUACAAGGUGAGAUUUCCUCUUACUUCUGCUUCUAGACGUCCACCAGGCAUCGCUGGCUGGGGCACGGGACCCCGAGGGCAGGGCAGGAGGCAGCCCCAGACCUCCUGAGCCGACACGUGAGCAGCGCGAGCAUCGCCCGGCUCGGGUUGGAAGCCACUUGUCCAUAGCUCUGCAUUAACCCACACACCCUCGGUCAACACGGCAGCCGGGCAAGCUGACUCUCCAUCUCUAGGCAUGGAUAUCCAGCUCUAGGCAUCUCUAAAACGCAGGCACCAAGGAGACGAAGCCCACUGCAUAGAUCAGCUACUUCUCACAGAGCCUGGUGGCCUCAGACACCCCCAGCUAGAAAUCAGAGCUUCCUACGAGCCACAUGGACCGAGCUAUUCCAGUCACGGUCUCGACACACAAACCUUCUUUCCCCUUAGAUCUGCAUUUCUUCUAUUUUUUUUUCCCCGAAGAAGCGCAGAUGGCUAGCAUUGGUAACUCCGUGACGAGGGCAGAUGUAAAGGAGCGAGGGAAGAAAGGUGUUCUCAGCUAGAGAGUGCGAUAAACUGAGCUGGGGGAAAAUGCUCCGAGUAAUUAGUCUGGGCUCUGACUGACGUGGCGGCACCUGAAGAUCUUCCUACGAGGCUUCUGAUGAAUUAUUUUCUAGCACAGAUCCUUCACUCAGCAAGUCAAGGGUGGCUUACACAGACCAAUGAAUCCCCAACCACAGGAGCUUCCCUCACAGGGCACUCAGAUUUAGACAUCUUGGUCUACUCAGAAGUGCCUUCAAAGUUUGUUGGGAAAUUAAGCCAUGAGGAUUCAAGUCUAAAACCCACUUUUCAGGGAAUGGGCAGCAGCAUUACAAACUAUCCUUGUUUAUUAUAUUAAAAAUAACACGAAAACACCUUAAUAUAGUUUGAAAACUUCAAAGAAGAAUGGAGGCGCUUACUUCCUGAGCAUUACAGCUUAUUCAGGCAGCCUAGAUGACUUGUCUUACAGGAUUACCACUCGCUACAUGCAUUUCCUUUACUCUUGUUAGGCAAAACCGCCUUUCCAGAGAACCCAGCUAUCCCAACAACCGCGUCCAUCCUAAAUACCAAACAGCAAAGGGAAUCAAGGCCAGGGUGGGGGCAGAUCCCAAUAUCUGUGUGAUGCUGAACUUCACCUUUCUUUCCUCAGAGAGGGCUGGUGGUCUCCAAUGUCACUGUAUAUUCUACCGACAAGAAGCGUUUCUUAUUUUCCUAGACUUUAGGGCCAUCUACCCAUGCCCUCUGCACACUGGUGACCAAGCAGAUCCUGGCAUCAAACUAAGGUAGAACUUACAACAAAGCCACCUCCGCAACUUUCUCAAAUUUCACAAGUUAUCCAGCAAAGCCCAUGGGAAUCCGAGGAGGACUGGGGCCUCCCAGAAGGCGCGUUGCUUUGCACCGCUAGACCAUUCAUAAUUUCAGACCUGUUCCUUGGAGAAAUAUCAGGGAGAGCUGAAAUGGCUGGUGGCAAAAACAAAUUGAGUCCAGCAUGGCCUAGAAGAAUUGAGCUUCCACGCAAAAGGAUAUUUCCCUUCCUCUUAAUAGUCUCAGUAAUGAGUUUGUCAGUUUGGGCUUUGAAGAAUUACCUGCUUGUUGUUUGGAUUGGUUUUUCUUUUUUAGAUUUUUUUUUUAAUUAAAAAAUAAAAGCUAUAAAAAGCUAAAGGUAGUUUUAAACUGCAGGGUUCAUAUCUGGGGUGAGUAUUUCUCUGGAGCUGAGGGACGUUUUUCAUUCAGACUGGUAUAAAACAAUACUCAAGGGGAAAAAUAGUUGAAAGAGAAAGCAUUAAAGGAAUAGGAACUCGGAGACCUCUUCCUGCUUCCAAAUCGACCAUCUCACAAAAUUAGCACAUUUCCUCCCUGCGAAUUCUGUAUCUAAUCCAGAGAGAUCACUGAAUGGUGCCUGAGCAACUUGGCAGCCCUUUUCCUCCUCUUCAAACACAACUCGAGGCUCACUCUUGGCAUUGUCUAAUGAGCGGCCCAGGCCUCGCAAGAGCAUCUAUCCAUACGGGCUUCGAAGAAGGAAGCCAGGAUCAGCGAAAAAUCCACCCCUGUUCCUUUUGGUUUUGCUGCUUCCUUUAGAAAACAAAAGAUCCCUGGAAAGUCAGCUGGGAUCGAAGGACCCUGUUGGCCCAAAGGACCUACCUCGUCUCGCACACCCUGUCCCAGUCCCGCGCUGGCACACACGAGCUGUUACGUUCAUGCACGGCAUAUUCACAGAGCAAGGACAACCAGGUGCUGUGCCUGCCCACCUCUCUGGAGUUGUUUUAAUGCCUGUCUGUAGCACGGGGAAAUGAAAUGGGAGCAGGAAACGGAUUCCUUUCCUAGGUGCAUCUCACAAGGCAGGCAGAGAGCAGAACUGAACUGAGCAGCAGUAAAACACAGAGCAAGGCAUCGCCACCAUUCACAAACCACGCUCGUAAUCCCCGAUGCUCCAGGAGCGCCGUGACACCCCGCCCUCAGCACUAGGUUCUGCUGCCAGAGUUACGGAUGAGGUUUCACCAUCACACACUCUUCCCUACCAAGGUAACUGCUAAGUGGUCGCGUCACCCUCUCUGGUCCACCUUCCCUGCACAACAGAAGGGCUGAGUCCGUCUUACUUCUCACUUCACGACCCUUUCUGUAGCCUCCACAUCUCAACAUCACGCUCCUAGUUUUACAAAGGGAUUGUUUUUUUUUUUUUCCUGCUACCUUGAACAACUCAGAGCACAGCAUUACCUGCAGGUACACAGCUUACGGGAUGUCCAUCGACUGCCAAUUGAGAAGGAAUUGGUCGCGUAGCUGUUGUACCGUCACUUCAUAAGCAUUCAUUCCCAAACAUGUGACUGGGGUCAGCUUUUGGACCCUCUGCCUCACUCUGAGGGUUCUUUUUUUAAAAGCAGUUUUCACUGUUUAAGAUCCCACAAACAAAACCUGUUUAUGGAAAAAGAGAGAUAUUUUGAAUACUAAAGUCCUUUAUUCAACAACACAGAAAUAUCACAAAAACAACUUUACUGGGCAAAUUGAAUGUUUUUAUACAGUUUUGUACAUGCCCCAUAAGUGAUUAUUUUUUUUCAUAAAUACACUGUUUUCCAAAAC